rnacentral:misc_RNA from 1 species
UUUCCGUAGGUGAACCUGCGGCAGGAUCAUUAUUGAAUAACCGAGGUGCGAGGGCUGUCGCUGACCCGAAAGGUCGUGCACGCCCGAGUGCCCUCACACACAUCCAUCUCACCCCUAUGUGCACCACCGCGUGGGUCCCCCUUUGGCUUGUUCGGAGGGGGGCUUACGUUUUCACACAAACUUUGUAUGCAGUGUAGAAUGUAUUUUUUGUUUUUGCGAUCACGCAAUCAAUACAACUUUCAACAACGGAUCUCUUGGCUCUCGCAUCGAUGAAGAACACAGC